AUCCACUAGUUUGUUUGUAUGAUGAAAUAAUACAAUUUAAAAAAGAGGAACUCCCGGAUAUAAGAUUAAAAAAUUUCAUUCACGUAAGAAAACAAUAAGAUUUCGGUUACACAAUUUCGGCAUUCUGCAUGUGAUGAUUCUGAAAUUUAUACACUGUUUAUUGAGGUUUUUAAAGAUGUAUGGGAUUGAUUGUUCGAGAAAUCUUCUAAGCCUUCAGAGAAAUUCAAUUAUCUGAGUCAGAAAGUAAAAAGAAAAAAAUUGUAUUUUUCUAAAGAGAUUUUGAGGUUUCUUCUUUUGGAGCUUGAAUCCCGAUUAGAAUUUGUGGGUGGAGAUGUUCCACUUGACUGGGUAGUAGGAACUUGCAUCUUGCAACACUUAAAAACUUCAACUUUGAGUAUGUGAUACAUCUGUAUGGGCUUCAGAGGAAGUAUUCGAAGAGAUGGUUUGAUGAUUUGGGAGACUAGGAAAAGGAUUUUACCAACGUUGCAGCUGAAGAAGAAAGCUGCAGUUGUGACCAAGGAACACGCUUUGUUGUAGAAGCAACAAACCUGAUGAUAAAUGUGCAAAUGCAGAAGUAGUAGGUAUGACACUCAACUUUUGCAGAAGAUUGUUAAUCCUUUUCCUCAUCAUGUAAUUUCCAGACAACAGCACUGUUCGCCUUUAUGUAAUGCAAUUGUUUAUCCAGUACCGUUGAAUCACUAACGCCACUUCAUGGAUCACUUCUCCAGUUAUAAUGUAUCGCCAGCCAUUCAUACUCAAACUCUCUCAUGUGUCCACAGAUAGUUUACAUUUACAACCAUUAACAACCAAACACUGUCUGUUGUGUGGUGUAUGUAAAAUACUGCUUCCAUAGUCAUGCAGAAUUAGUGAGGAUGAUCAACAAUUUAGUAUGUUGUGUAAAUUUUUAUAGCAUAUUACUGUGCUGUGUUUUUUCAGAAUUAGCAAGGAUGAUAAAUUCAUUCUUUAGAUCACAAUGUAUUAUGGGUCGGCAUAUGGUGCCGAGCAUAUGAAAUCUUUGUAGGGGAAGAUGUUGAAAAUUUGUAAGAAUUGAAAAUCUUUGUAGGGUAAUUAAUAUCUAAGAGACUGAGUCAACCGAUUCAAGCUCCGAGGAUCGGCGAUCAACUCAGCUAAAAAUUUUCGUUUCUUCUUCGAUUUCA